GCGAGACCUUCUUCCUGCCAGCGGGGGAGGGUGGUGGCGGAGUGAUGGAGGACGAGGUUACCUGCGAUAAGCCUCGGAUAGAUGGAAGCAAUCUUAGACCCGGGGAUUUCCGAAUGGGG
rnacentral:rRNA from 1 species